UCUGACCUCAAAUCAGGUAGGAUUACCCGCUGAACUUAAGCAUAUCAAUAAGCGGAGAAAA
rnacentral:rRNA from 1 species